UUACGGUCAAAUCACGCUGAAACACUGGUUCUCGUUAAGUUAAGCAUCGUAGAGCCAGGUCAGUACUUAGAUGGGGGACCGCUUGGGAACACCUGGUACUGUAAGC
rnacentral:rRNA from 1 species